UCAGGCCCUAUCACCCUGAACUCACCUGAUCUCAUCUGAUCACCAAAGCUAAGGAGAGUUGGGCCUCUUUAGAAGUUGAAAAGCAACAAUGAUAUUCAUGGAAUAGUCUGGA
rnacentral:rRNA from 1 species